rnacentral:rRNA from 1 species
CUCAGGAUGAACGCUAGCUACAGGCUUAACACAUGCAAGGUCGAGGGGCGAGCAUUGGGAUAGCUUGCUAUUCAGAUGGCGACCGGCGCGACGGGUGAGUAACGCGUAUCCAACCUUCCUGCCAGUAGGGAACAGCCCGGCGAAAGUCGGAUUAAUGCCCUAUGUUCUUCAAUGCGGACAUCUAAGUUGAAGGAAAGAUUCAUCGCUGGCAGAUGGGGAUGCGUCCGAUUAGCUUGCCGGCGGGGUAACGGCCCACCGGGGCGACGAUCGGUAGGGGUUCUGAGAGGAAGGUCCCCCACACUGGUACUGAGACACGGACCAGACUCCUACGGGAGGCAGCAGUGAGGAAUAUUGGUCAAUGGGCGUAAGCCUGAACCAGCCAAGUAGCGUGCAAGGAUGACGGCCCUACGGGUUGUAAACUGCUUUUUAUGCGGGGAUAAAGUGCGGCACGUGUGCCGCUUUGCAGGUACCGCAUGAAUAAGGACCGGCUAAUUCCGUGCCAGCAGCCGC